GGUUAACCGAAUAGGGGAGCCGGAGGGAAACCGAGUCUUAAUUGGGCGUUAAGUUGCAGGGUAUAGACCCGAAACCCGGUGAUCUAGCCAUGGGCAGGUUGAAGGUUGGGUAACACUAACUGGAGGACCGAACCGACUAAUGUUGAAAAAUUAGCGGAUGACCUGUGGCUGGGGGUGAAAGGCCAAUCAAACCGGGAGAUAGCUGGUUCUCCCCGAAAGCUAUUUAGGUAGCGCCUCGUGAAUUCAUCUCCGGGGGUAGAGCACUGUUUCGGCUAGGGGGCCAUCCCGGCUUACCAACCCGAUGCAAACUGCGAAUACCGGAGAAUGUUAUCACGGGAGACACACGGCGGGUGCUAACGUCCGUCGUGAAGAGGGAAACAACCCAGACCGCCAGCUAAGGUCCCAAAGUCAUGGUUAAGUGGGAAACGAUGUGGGAAGGCCCAGACAGCCAGGAUGUUGGCUUAGAAGCAGCCAUCAUUUAAAGAAAGCGUAAUAGCUCACUGGUCGAGUCGGCCUGCGCGGAAGAUGUAACGGGGCUAAACCAUGCACCGAAGCUGCGGCAGCGAACGUAUCACCCAAGACAACUUUGCGGAGUUGACGAUUGACGGAGCGAAGCGACGUCAAAGCGUUCAUUAAAGUCGAGUUGGCUUAGGGAUACGUUCGUUGGGUAGGGGAGCGUUCUGUAAGCCUGUGAAGGUAUGCUGUGAGGC
rnacentral:rRNA from 1 species